AGACGAUGUAAAUGAUGGUAGACGAUGUAAAUGAUGGUAGACGAUGUAAAUGCCAUCAUUUACAUGGUCUACCAUCAUUUACAUGGUCUACC
rnacentral:pre_miRNA from 1 species